AAGUGAGUGCUGAAGUUUAUUAAGAUAUAGAAUCGGAACGAUUACUUUUAUGGAAACGUGCAUGUCUGCACGAGAAAUAGCACAACUAUUAAAGUUUCAAAAACGUGGUGAUCGUGUAUAAAACUCUGGUGUCGUGGGUCUCCACACUCUCCAUGCAUGCUGCUUGGCGGGUAAAUAUUGGCGGGUAAAACUUAAAUACAAAUAGAAUGACUGUGGGAGCUUAUAGAUAGAAGACUUAAACCUGUUCCAAGUUUGUAAAAUAUUUCAGGCCUGAACCAGCCAUCAUCACAACACGAUAUACAAGUUUUGCUUCUGCUGGUAUUGAUCUGCCAUCAGCAACAUACUCAGUCAUCGCUUGGAUAAACAGCAUCCAGACAUCCAGCUUGAUUGGAAAAACUCAGUCCUUGUGUACACCCAUGUGAGUGUGGGGGUAUUCACGAGGACGCCCUUUUUCCGUCAUUCAACUUUUCUGCAGGAUGG